GUAACAAGGUCUCCGUUGGUGAACCAGCGGAGGGAUCAUUACCGAGUUUACAACUCCCAAACCCCUGUGAACAUACCUAUACGUUGCCUCGGCGGAUCAGCCCGCGCCCCGUAAAACGGGACGGCCCGCCCGAGGACCCCUAAACUCUGUUUUUAGUGGAACUUCUGAGUAAAACAAACAAAUAAAUCAAAACUUUCAACAACGGAUCUCUUGGUUCUGGCAUCGAUGAAGAACGCAGCAAAAUGCGAUAAGUAAUGUGAAUUGCAGAAUUCAGUGAAUCAUCGAAUCUUUGAACGCACAUUGCGCCCGCCAGUAUUCUGGCGGGCAUGCCUGUUCGAGCGUCAUUUCAACCCUCAAGCUCAGCUUGGUGUUGGGACUCGCGGUAACCCGCGUUCCCCAAAUCGAUUGGCGGUCACGUCGAGCUUCCAUAGCGUAGUAAUCAUACACCUCGUUACUGGUAAUCGUCGCGGCCACGCCGUAAAACCCCAACUUCUGAAUGUUGACCUCGGAUCAGGUAGGAAUACCCGCUGAACUUAAGCAUAUCAACCGGGGAA
rnacentral:rRNA from 1 species